rnacentral:lncRNA from 1 species
GCCGCCGGCGCCACAGGACCUCGCCACUAGACCUGGCCUCUUCGGAGCCCCACCAGUAACCCCCUUCUCACCUCCCGGCGGCGGUCCUCCGUCUCCCCGCACGCAGGAGAGACGACGUAUGGAAGCUGCGCACGCGGAGGCCACGGCACAGGUGAGGACGAGUCCCACCCCCUAAAAAAAGAUUAACCAAGAGCCCGUUGGUGAUGUCACUGGGCUCGCUCCUUUCCUCCUCUCUCAUUUUAUUUCUUCAUUCGCCUGCCUCUUCAGCUUCGCUUCCCCAAUUCUCCACCCAUUCCUACGGUUCAAUCCUUGCCCUGCUCAGUGACCGCAGCGACCAGGGCACCACCACGGCCAACAGCGGGCAGUGGCUCGCCGGGAUCGAGAGCAGGAUGGGCGGGUUGGCGUCCAAUCGGGCCAGGGUUGGAGCCGGUGCAUGGCCGAGCUCCCAUUACCGUGGUGCAUGCAUACCUCACAUCGUUCACAUCACCCUGGUGCCACGUAGCCAUGGUCGACACAGGGAAAUGCCGAGAUCUGCAUGUGUGUGAAGCACCAAAUGAUAUGUACGUUCUAAACUACAGACAAUAACCUCAUCUCUGAAUAUUGUUGUUGUACACUGCCAAUAACAUACCGGACGAUGAAGAAACUACAGGUUAUACUUGAUGUAAGUAGAAACUACAGGCUGUACUUGAUGUUGUUCGAUAAAAGAACUCUUUUUGUGCAGUUAGAUACCUAUGUUCUGCAAGAAAGCAAUUAAAUAGUCAGUACUUUUUAAAAACUCUUUCACAUUGUCUCUAUGAUGAUACAGUCAAUAAUCAAAGCUACGAAGGGCAUAAAAAAGUAUUCAAGUUUGUCUUUUGCGGGGAUGAAAAUGAUUCAGGUUAGCUAGCUUAGCUUGGUGGACCAACUAUACACACACGGCCUUGAUGCAAUAAAGGCAGGUAAUUUUGAAAUCGUUACCUCGACAACUUCUAUUUGUAAAUAACUAUAGUGAUUAUCUUUUCACAAAAUGUGAUGCGACUCAAAGCAUACAUAUAUCAUACUAAGCUAAGCAUGACAAACCUUGAAGAAAAUCCAUGACAGUGUGUGUCUUAUCUACCAUUUAAGGCUAAGCAAUUAAUUUAGUCUGUAUUCUAU